rnacentral:rRNA from 1 species
AAGCGCUCACGACCAGACGUGGGCCGGUGAAUCACCCAGCGUUCUCGCUGGUGCACUUUGCCGGCCCAGGCCAGCAUCAGUUCGCGCUGGGGGAUAAAGGCGGCGGGAAUGUGGCUCCUCCGGGAGUGUUAUAGCCCGCCGUGCAAUACCCUGGGGCGGACUGAGGUACGCGCUCCGCAAGGAUGCUGGCGUAAUGGUCAUCAGCGA